rnacentral:tRNA from 1 species
AUAUUAGAAGCAUAUGUGCAUUAAGUUUCGGCCUUAAAUACUAACAGAAUAAUGCCUGUUACUAAUAUA